GAUGAACGCUGGCGGCGUGCCUAAUACAUGCAAGUCGAGCGAACAGACGAGGAGCUUGCUCCUCUGACGUUAGCGGCGGACGGGUGAGUAACACGUGGAUAACCUACCUAUAAGACUGGGAUAACUUCGGGAAACCGGAGCUAAUACCGGAGAAUAUAUUGAACCGCAUGGUUCAAUAGUGAAAGACGGUUUUGCUGUCACUUAUAGAUGGAUCCGCGCCGCAUUAGCUAGUUGGUAAGGUAACGGCUUACCAAGGCAAUGAUGCGUAGCCGACCUGAGAGGGUGAUCGGCCACACUGGAACUGAGACACGGUCCAGACUCCUACGGGAGGCAGCAGUAGGGAAUCUUCCGCAAUGGGCGAAAGCCUGACGGAGCAACGCCGCGUGAGUGAUGAAGGUCUUCGGAUCGUAAAACUCUGUUAUUAGGGAAGAACAAAUGUGUAAGUAACUAUGCACGUCUUGACGGUACCUAAUCAGAAAGCCACGGCUAACUACGUG
rnacentral:rRNA from 1 species